GGUACAUGAUAGAUGACCUAC
rnacentral:siRNA from 1 species